GAUGAACGCUGGCGGCGUGCCUAAUACCUGCAAGUCGAGCGAACAGACGAGGAGCUUGCUCCUCUGACGUUAGCGGCGGACGGGUGAGUAACACGUGGAUAACCUACCUAUAAGACUGGGAUAACUUCGGGAAACCGGAGCUAAUACCGGAUAAUAUAUUGAACCGCAUGGUUCAAUAGUGAAAGACGGUUUUGCUGUCACUUAUAGAUGGAUCCGCGCCGCAUUAGCUAGUUGGUAAGGUAACGGCUUACCAAGGAAACUGUGCGUAGCCGACCUGAGAGGGUGAUCGGCCACACUGGAACUGAGACACGGUCCAGACUCCUACGGGAGGCAGCAGUAGGGAAUCUUCCGCAAUGGGCGAAAGCUUGACGGAGCAACGCCGCGUGAGUGAUGAAGGUCUUCGGAUCGUAAAACUCUGUUAUUAGGGAAGAACAAAUGUGUAAGUAACUAUGCACGUCUUGACGGUACCUAAUCAGAAAGCCACGGCUAACUACGUG
rnacentral:rRNA from 1 species